rnacentral:lncRNA from 1 species
GCAGCAGGGUCCUGCUGAAUACACACGGAUUCAUUACAUUACAUUGCCCUGCACACCCAUGUUGAGGUGCUCAAGAUGGGCCUCUGAAGGAAGCUUUACUCAACAGGAUGAUGCCCUGCUGGAACAACUUGUCCCCCGAAGCACCAACCACCUUUCAGAGCGCACAGAGCAGGAGCCCUGCAGCAUCACCAGCCUGCACCUGCCACGUCUGUCGUGCUACUGGAACAUUAAUCUGCUCUUCCCCUCCAAGACCCAGGGACAUAUUCUAUUCCACACCUGCCUCCAGCCUGUAUUUACCUUUCCACAAGCAGGGGGGAAGGAGUUUCUGGUCAGACAGCAGCACUGCCACCUCUCAAUCCUGGCUGACGCAAACUUUUUCACAAGUAGUCUCAAACCGUUUAGUGACCAUUAGUCUCUUCUAGCUCAUAAAACCUUCACAAAGGGAGAAAUUAACUCUCCCUUAAAAAAACCCUAACACUCUAAAUUCCAAUUCCAGUGGUCCCAGAAUUCUAGUCAAGUAUUUACUACAGUUUUUCAUUAUAGCAGGGAACACCCUAGAACAUCUUUCUGUUUAAUCCCACCUUAUGGGAUUCCUCUCUGGAAGCUUCAUAAAUCACAGCAUUUUUAAUCUUGCAGGAAACACACUGAUAAGGAAGUAAGAUGGUUUCUUGAACUGCAUUUCAAGCCAACAUAUCCUGCUUUCACUGCUCAAUUAAUUAUAGAACUGAAGGAAACACAGUGUCACAGGAGACGAGGAAGGGAGAAAAGUCUGUAUCAGAGAAAUUACAUUCACCUGUUGUACUACUCCAACCCCUUAUUGGCAUGGGGAAGAGGAGACUGGGAAAUUCCACAGCUGAAGUUCAAAUAUUUCAAGUGAGCUCAAUAAGUGCAAGGCUAGGCCAAUGCCCUUUAUUUAGAAGAGAGGCUGGAGUACAUGGGAUUUGUAUUCUUUGCUUUGUAAAGAUAUUUUUAAUGAAUCAUAUAGCUUAAUCAACUCACUGCCCAUCCCACAGUGAGGAAAUCUUAUUGUAAGUUUUCAUUGUUUGGCUGGCUGGUUUCAGCCCAAUGUGAUUAUUCAGUAAAACCAUUAUACAUCUUUGCAAACCACUUCAUUGUCUGCAGCUUCACUGCUAGUUUUCUUUGCUUAAUUUUCUUUUGUUUGGCAAAAUGAUGUAAUAAAAGGCUGAGUUGUAGGGUUCUUACUGUAAUC